UGAAUAUGGGGGGACCAUCCUCCAAGGCUAAAUACUCCUGACUGACCGAUAGUGAACCAGUACCGUGAGGGAAAGGCGAAAAGAACCCCUGUGAGGGGAGUGAAAUAGAACCUGAAACCGUGUACGUACAAGCAGUAGGAGCACCUUCGUGGUGUGACUGCGUACCUUUUGUAUAAUGGGUCAGCGACUUAUAUUCAGUGGCAAGGUUAACCGUAUAGGGGAGCCGUAGCGAAAGCGAGUCUUAACUGGGCGCUCAGUCUCUGGAUAUAGACCCGAAACCGGGUGAUCUAGCCAUGGGCAGGUUGAAGGUUGAGUAACAUCAACUGGAGGACCGAACCGACUAAUGUUGAAAAAUUAGCGGAUGACUUGUGGCUAGGGGUGAAAGGCCAAUCAAACUCGGAGAUAGCUGGUUCUCCCCGAAAGCUAUUUAGGUAGCGCCUCGGACGAAUACUACUGGGGGUAGAGCACUGUUAAGGCUAGGGGGUCAUCCCGACUUACCAACCCUUUGCAAACUCCGAAUAC
rnacentral:rRNA from 1 species